GAUGAACGCUGGCGGCGUGCCUAAUACAUGCAAGUCGAGCGAACAGACGAGGAGCUUGCUCCUCUGACGUUAGCGGCGGACGGGUGAGUAACACGUGGAUAACCUACCUAUAAGACUGGGAUAACUUCGGGAAACCGGAGCUAAUACCGGAUAAUAUAUUGAACCGCAUGGUUCAAUAGUGAAAGACGGUUUUGCUGUCACUUAUAGAUGGAUCCGCGCCGCAUUAGCUAGUUGGUAAGGUAACGGCUUACCAAGGCAACGAUGCGUAGCCGACCUGAGAGGGUGAACGGCCACACUGGAACUGAGACACAGUCCAGACUCCUACGGGAGGCAGCAGUAGGGAAUCUUCCGCAAUGGGCGAAAGCUGGACGGAGCAACGCCGCGUGAGUGAUGAAGGUCUUCGGAUCGUAAAACUCUGUUAUUAGGAAAGAACAAAUGUGUAAGUAACUAUGCACAUCUUGACGGUACCUAAACAGAAAGCCACGGCUAACUACGUG
rnacentral:rRNA from 1 species